rnacentral:other from 1 species
CGAAUCCUGAAAUGUUUGAAAAGCUUUUAACUGUUUUGACCGAACAAUAAAUCGUAGGGAACCCAUAUUUUGUCUUGGCAAACAAGCCCUGCAACUGGACGAGGGAAGUUUAAAGAGACGAAGCGGGUACCCACCUGCAAGGGAAGCGGGUUCAAAACGAUGUUGUCAGCAUGCGGCAUAUUUGGGAUUCGU